rnacentral:lncRNA from 1 species
CAACAACACAGUUAGCAGUAGAAGGAAGCCAAGACACAUCAGCAACAACCAGACAACAAUAGAAUAAGAAUUUUCUAGAAGAAGAGAAUAAGGAAUUCUGUAAUCUAUAGUAUUUUCUGUUAUCUAAAUGUGCAUAGCAUGUAUAUAUUAACAUUCCUAUAAUAUAAUGUGACAAUAAAAAAUGACAUGUAACACUCACAAUUUCUUGUUCCGAAGCCCUACUUGGAUAUUUAGAUUUUCAACUUGUCGAACAUAUCCUCUCAGUUUGCCAAUUGCACUGAGAAUAACUUGCAUUCGAGAUUGCAAUGAGCUUUUAGGUCAAGGUAAUGUGAUAAAGUCCAGCAUCAUGUUGUUAUAGUCAUGCUCGACUCUAGAUCAAAAUUGAUCUUUUAAUUGUUUGUACCAAUAAUCUGAUUUUAUCAAGAUAUACAUGAACCAAGUGUAAGUCUUCUUCAUUUGUAUAUGAAGUACUUCGUGCACUUGAACUCAUAUUCGUGUAAAUUUUGGACACGUGAAAGAUUAACUAAUUUCUUGGGAAUUGAAGAUUUG